AUGCAAAAAAAAAAAGAGAAAAGAAAAGAGAGAGAAGAAAAAAAGAGAGAAAGAAGAAGGACGGAAGAAAAGAAGAGGAAAGAAAAGAUGGAAUACUCGCAGGAUCCUGGGGGCUCAGGCCGAUGUUAAACAAAAAUUGCUCCCUCAGAAGGUUGGGAAGGGAAGGAGCGGAAUAGUCAAGAAGCUUUCGGGGGGCCUGAAGGUCGUCCUCCCCCAGACUGGGAGCCCGACGGACAGAGUCCCUCAGAGAGCCCCAAGGGGGCAGGCCCAGCCUCAAAGUUGGGCAGUGGACGAAGAGAUAUUUUCCCUUCCAGUUGUGG
rnacentral:lncRNA from 1 species